UAGUCCACACCGUAAACGAUGAAUGCCAGACGUCAGCAAGCAUGCUUGUUGGUGUCACACCUAACGGAUUAAGCAUUCCGGCCUGGGGAGUACAGUCGCAAGAUUAAAACUCAAAGGGAAUUGACGGGGGCCCGCACAAGCGGUGGAGCAUGUGGUUUAAUUCGACGCAACGCGCAGAACCUUACCAACCCUUGACAUGUGUAUCGAGAUUUCUGGAGACAGAUUUCGUCAGUUCGGCUGGAUACAACACAGGUGCUGCAUGGCUGUCGUCAGCUCGUGUCGUGAGAUGUUCGGUUAAGUCCGGCAACGAGCGCAACCCACAUCCUUAGUUGCCAGCAGUUCGGCUGGGCACUCUAGGGAAACUGCCCGUGAUAAGCGGGAGGAAGGUGUGGAUGACGUCAAGUCCUCAUGGCCCUUACGGGUUGGGCUACACACGUGCUACAAUGGCAGUGACAAUGGGUUAAUCCAAAAAGCUAGUCUCAGUUCGGAUUGGGU
rnacentral:rRNA from 1 species